rnacentral:rRNA from 1 species
ACUUAGAAAUAAAAGGUUAACUUGAAUAUUAAUAGUUAUUUUCUUUAAAAUCAAAGAAUUUGGCGGUAAUUUAGUCUCGUUAGAGGAACCUGUUUUAUAAGCGAUAAAUCACGUAAAAUCUUGCUUGUUUUUGUAAAUAUCAGUUUGUAUACCGUCAUUAUUAGAUAAUUUUGGAAAAAGUAAUUAUUAAGAUUAAUUUUUUGAUAAGCUUAAGUAUAUUAGAUCAAGGUGCAGCUUAUAAACAAGUAAAAAUGGGUUACAAUAAUAUUUAAUUAAAUGAAUAACAAAAAGAAUGAAUGUUUGAAGGUGGAUUUAAUUGUAAAGAUAGUUUAAUAAGCUAUUUUGAUAUAAGUUCUAAAUUAUGUACAUAUCGCCCGUCGCUUUCACUUAAAAU